AAUGAACGCUGGCGGCGCGCCUAAUACAUGCAAGUCGAGCGAGAAAACGUACCAAUACGUUUGUAAAGCGGCGAACGGGUGAGGAAUACAUGGGUAACCUACCCUUGAGUGGGGAAUAACUAGCCAAAAGGUUAGCUAAUACCGCGUACGCUUCUUGGACUUCGGUUCAGGGAGGAAAGCGCUACCGGGGGUAGCGCGCUCUUGGAUGGGCUCAUGUCCUAUCAGCUUGUUGGUGAGGUAACGGCUCACCAAGGCUUCAACGGGUAGCUGGUCUGAGAGGACAAUCAGCCACACUGGCACUGCAACACGGGCCAAACUCCUACGGGAGGCAGCAGUAAGGAAUAUUGCGCAAUGGGCGAAAGCCUGACGCACCGACCCCGCGUGGGGAAUGAAGGUCUUCGGAUUGUAAACCCCUUUCGGGAGGGAAGAUGGAAUGGGGUAACCCAUUCGGACGGUACCUCCAAAAGCAGCCACGGCUAACUUCGUG
rnacentral:rRNA from 1 species